GUUAUAUGGUCAAGUGAAGAAGCGCAUACGGUGGAUGCCUUGGCAGUCAGAGGCGAUGAAAGACGUGGUAGCCUGCGAUAAGCUUUGGGGAGUCGGCAAACAGACUGUGAUCCAGAGAUCUCUGAAUGGGGGAACCCACUCAGCAUAAGCUGAGUAUCUUGUACUGA
rnacentral:rRNA from 1 species